GCUAAAUUUUCACCUUGUCCAACAAGUGUAACGAGUUUAUGGAAUCGGGAAUAUACAAGCACUGCAUAUGUUUAUAUGAAUUCUACCAAAGGUUAAUUCCACCUUCAACUUUAAACACAUUCUUCACAAUGCAAACGAUUGUAUCGCGAAUUUGGUUCUUGCUGAUUGAUUAAAUGAACUUGGAGCUCAUCUGGCUGCCUUGCUGUUAAUUCUGAUAUUCCAAGCAUCAUUCUUAGGUCCAUACAUAGGGUCACCGACAACAUAAGAAGAUGAAGGAACAUAACUCUUCAACAGUGGGACUCUGUCGGGAAUAUAAUCAUCAUCGCUCUCAUAAUAACACCUUUCCUGAUGUGGCCCUAGAGCUUUCAGGAUCAUUGCAAAUAAUAUGGUUAGCCCCUGCACAGUCACUACUGACAAGCCAAUCCAUUUACAGAUGUCAAAGUUAUCUUUUACAAAGUGUUUGAGCUCAUCGAAAUUCCCCGUCGUGUCCUCGGGAAAGUCCUCUUGCCAGUUUCUGUUAAGGAAUACAUCUACAGUCACAGCUGCUUCGAUCAUGAGAAGUAGGAAGACAAAAACCAUGUAAAUAUAUAAGCAACAGCCAUUAGCAGUUUCUGCAGCAAUGUGACCAGAGCAAGUGACUAUAGACAAAGUUAUUCCAAGACCAAGUGUUGCGUAAAUGAACCAUGGUGCAGGGACAUCAGGUCCAAAGAAAGGAGGAGGAUAAGGACCCAUUUGCUUAUGCCAAACCCUAAACAUCCAAAGAGCAUACAUAAUCAUCGCUAUUCCUACCAUUCCAAUAACCGAAUUCACUAAUUUCAACAAUGACUGCAUACAACUCCUCGCCAUCCUCGUCAUAUUUUGCUUUUCCCCCCUUUUUUCAACGAAAAAUCGAUCGGAAAUUAACAAUUCAACUGAAUAUAAUUCCUGAAAACCCUAACCCUUAAUUGAUCCUAAUUUAUUUUGUUCUUAAGGGGAUUAGGGUUGUUGGAAUCGGAGACGACGACGGAGUCGGAGAAAUUUGAAAGAAUUUAGUGAUUGAAUUUGUCGCCGAUUACCGAUUGAGCUGACGUCGUUACCGUAUUAGACGCAAUUAGCUGUGACAGUUGGCGUUUGUAGAUGAAAAAAAU
rnacentral:misc_RNA from 1 species